UACGAAGGGGGCUAGCGUUGCUCGGAAUCACUGGGCGUAAAGGGCGCGUAGGCGGCCUGAUAAGUAGGGGGUGAAAUCCUGCGGCUUAACCGCAGGGCUGCCUUCUAAACUGUCAGGCUUGAGCACAGUAGAGGCAGGUGGAAUUCCCGGUGUAGCGGUGGAAUGCGUAGAGAUCGGGAAGAACAUCAGUGGCGAAGGCGGCCUGCUGGGCUGUUGCUGACGCUGAGGCGCGACAGCGUGGGGAGCAAACAGG
rnacentral:rRNA from 1 species